UGUUCUUUGUCUUCUCCUCUCUGAUGUUUUCAAUCUCAGAGAUUUGGGUUCUUUUGCGUUGGAAUUUCAUAGGAAACUUGCCAUCUUGAUGAUUUGAGAAGGGAGGUGAAGAUGUUGUUGUUGAUUUGAGUUCUGGAAGAACUUAAUCGGAAGGAGAUGAUUUUGUAAUGAAGUGACAAGGGUUAUGGCUGCGCAAGUUGAAUUGAAGAGUUAUAUGAAUAUUAAGAUAUAACAGAGAUGUUGAAUUAUAAGAGGAACAAUGUUGUUGAAACUGUUGUUGCGGCAAUGCAAGGAGGAAUGACAAGCGAUUGUGACAGGGUGUGUUAGAAUGAUGUAUAUGAACGCUUAGAUUGCAGCUGAUGAUACUGAGGUUGACUGAUGGCGCAGGGGUUGAGAUUAAAUCACAGCAAUUGAGGGUUGAAAUGGGGUAUUGUGUGACUGAAGUUGAGAACAAGAUAGAUGGAGUUGUGUUGAUGUAGCUGUGAAGUUAUGUGGUGUUGCUGGUGUGGAGGCAGUAUUGGGUUUAAUGAGUUGUUGUUCAGAUGUUGGUGAAGUUUCGAAGAGUACUGUGUUGUGCUGCUGCUGUUGGAGUUUGGUUGUACAGGUGUAGUGUAAAUGGAACUGGAGUCAUAGUGGUGGUGUGUUGAACUGAGAUGCAGAGCAUGGAAGAAACCAAGAUGGGAUUGAUGAUGAACUCAGCUUAGAUAAUUGUUGGUAUUGUUGUAAUUGAGUUGUUUUAUGAAGAUGAAGAUGCAUGAUUCUAGCCUAUAAAAUAUGUGUUGAACUGAAUAAGGGUGGAAAUAGAUAAAGAAGGAUAGAGGUUUGAUUAUGACAUUACAGAUGGAUUAUACAAGUUAUAAGCUUGUUGUAGUUUGCCGAAUUAGAAAUAUGACGUUGUUAACACAAUUGAUUGAGAAUCAAGAAUAAGAAAUAGGGGUUGUGUUUGGUUAAGCUGAAGGGUUGCAAAUGAAUGUUAGAAAUGCAUUUGUUGGUUUAA